rnacentral:lncRNA from 1 species
ACCACACCUGGAACUGUUGAACAGCUCUUUCUUGCUCUGUGUCUCAUUCAAAUUUGACAGCCUUUAAUGUCACCUGUAAAACAUAUUCCCAAAGGUAGAAUAUGUUUUCUCCAGAGUCUGAGGAGGCCUACCAGAUGAGCUUUCUUAUCUGCUGGGCAAGAAUUUCUCCUUUUCUUUGGAGGGGAUGUCUAGUCAUGCUUCUGACUACCAAACCACUAAAGAUCUCACUGAUAUUAGGACUCUGCAGAAGGUUUUGUUUGUGGAAAGGCUUUUACUGCUGAAAGCUAACAGUAGGACAUUCUAUGGAAUACCUGACCAGUACUCCUUGAAACUUCAGUCACGAAAAACAAGGAGAGACUGAGAAACUCUCAAGAACCAGAGGAGACCAAGGAGACACAAACACCAAAUGCAAUGUGAUAUCCUGGGUGGAAUGCCGGAACGGAAAAGGGACCUUAGGAGAAAAAUUCAUGAAAUCCGAAUAAAGUCUGGAGUUUAGUUCACAGCAAAGCACCAGUGUUGACAUCUUCAUUUUGGCAAAUGUUCCAUGAUGAUGUAGGAGGUUAACAUUAAGAGAACUGGAUAAGGGAUAUAUGGGAACUUUCUGUACUUUCUUUUCAACUUUUCUAUAAAUCUAGAAUUAUUAAACCCAAAUUGUAAAAGUUUAUUUUUAAAAGAUAGCAUUCAAAAACCGUCAGACAAAUGAGCUCCAAAUACAUCCAGAGAUGAGAAGAAAGACGGUGACCUGAUUCUGGAAGUUCAGAUGUCCAUGUUGGUGACCUGAUUCAGGAAGUCUUUCAGGAGGAUAUCAAGCUUGGAUCUUGGAUAGAACUGGGAUGCGAGGCACUGGUGAUUGGGCAAUAUCCCUGCCUGUAGGAUUCUUUGUGGAAUGCUGGAUAUUCAUAUUCUGGUCUUUUCUUAUCUCUGGUUGCCUCAGGGAAGUAAGAACCCAUCUGGGAAAGAGAGGACAGGACUGAAGAGGGACUCAAGGAAGUUGAGCUUACUGGAUUGGGGGUGAAUGUUAAAGUUCCAGUUUGAACAGAGCCCAAGCUGGAGACCAGGAGAAUCUAGAGGAAGGAGGUGACACAGGCCUGCUCCUAGUCUGAUGGGAAAACCUACGUUAUACCCUCAAAGAACCCCAAUCUGGGGUCAAAGGCAAAACAGAGCCAAUAUCCACAUGUGCCAGCUUGUGGGGGAGGAGGAACUCUGGAAAAGAAGGAGAGUGAGA